UAUAUAUUUUGGAAUGCUUAUAUCGUUUCCAUCUCGAAUACUAUGAUAAGUUGGCAGACAAUGUUGGAUUCCCCACUUGGGAAAGGAAGAUAAAAUAUCUUUGUAUUUUAGCUUUGGUAACUCAGAUAUACACUUGGAGACUUGUCAGGGUUCUAUAUGAUUAAGCAUAUAGUGUUUUGGGAAUUAAGUCAUCUUAUUCAUGUGAUGUUUUUAUGUUAUUUUUAGAAUAGUUAUAUUUGGUUUCUUCGAUUGUGUUCCUACAUAUCUUUUUUGUCCUUGGUUUACUUCUUUUGAUCAUAUGCCUUUCAACUCCAAUCUAUUUUCUAGUCAUCUGAAAUGCAUCAGGAAUUUCACAAACACGGUGGAUUUGGUCAAACUCCUCUUAAAGUGCUAAGGUUAUACAUAUUUCUUUUGUGUUUUUUCUCUUGAUUUAAAUGAAAACUCUUAAUUUUCAAGAACUUCUAGCUGGCUAUUGACUUGAGUUGUAAUGGUCAAAGUAUGGAACAACAAGAUGAUAUAAGUGAUUUUAGAUAAAAGGGUUAAUGUCAUUAUAGCCAAUCCAAUUUUUAAAGUUUAUUUUAUUUGGUCAUUGAAGUUUUUUUUUUGUGCAUUCUAAGUCACCAAAGUUUCAAAUUUAGUGUUAAAAAGGGGAAUAUCACCAAGAUGAAGGGGUCACCCGGUCAUAUAGGUGAGUUGGUGGAUAUGUGGCAUUUUGGUCAAUUGAACUCUUCCAUGUGACAUUUUGGUCGACCACAUUAAUCAUCUUUUUAUAGAGAAAUAAAUCUCUCAUUUAUGAGUAUGAUUCAAAAUCUAUUAUCUUUCGUUUGUUAUCUAUCGUCUUUCUCUCGUAAAUAUGGUUUGUAUGUGUGUAUCUUCGAGUUACAGGUUUUUGGGCUUCUCGUUGCUGCAAAUAGACAUGGAUUUCUUAUUGCUAGGAAGUUCAAGUAAGGUCUUUUAAACCGUAAAGCUUCAAAAAACAUCAGAAACAAAUCCUGGUUUGUAAUAAAUGUAUAACAUAAACAAAUUUUUCACUAAAAUAUCUUAUUCACACGUUUUUUUUUCUCAAUUCCAUAUAGGGAUAAUGACUUAAAAGGGGAAUAUAUUUUUUGAUCUGUAUACAUUUAGUCACUGUGUUUUUUUUUCGUCCACAUUUACCUCUUCAACUUGUUAAACUGUACAUAUUUAGUCCUUAUGACCGGCUACUCCAGGUUAGCCGGUAAAAAUGACUUAAUAGGGUAAUAUAUUUCUCACUUUGUACACAUUUAGUCCUUAAUAUUUUUUUGUUGCAAAAUAAAUCCUUUUUGUUUUUGUAUUAAUUCAGUACUUAUGAAUGAUUUUUUAGGUUUUUUCUCACGACAUCUUAUGUGGAAUGGUCAUAUGGUGAUGAGAUAGGUUAAGAUGGUCCUGCUAUAUGUUUUAGGACAAGAUACCUAGUGCGGGUCAGCUAUAAGCUAUAGGCACGGAGACUCGAGAAGAGCGAUUGGGUUAAGGCGGCAUGCCAACAAACCUUGGGUAUUCCAGUCUGAUGAUUGAUUAGACCUGUUGCAUGUUGACAUUCCAGUCUGAUGACUGAUUGGGCCAAGGUAUUCCAAUCUGAUGAGUGUGGAUCCAUUAUGCAUGAUAAUACGUUUGUUGUAUUGCGUAUUUUGGGGGAAACUUACUAAACUUUGUGUUUACCUAGUUGUUUAUGUUUUCAGGUUCUAUCAUUGGUCGUGGAAAGGAGAAUGCAUGACUGUACACACACAUCAACAAUAUUGAGGACUCCACAUUUCUUAUAUUACUUCAAUUUUCGAUAAAUGUAUUUUGGAAUAGACAUUUUUUCUUAAUAAUGGCUUUAUAAUUAGAGAGUUUUGCCUUAUUUAAAAAAUAAAAUUUUUUGUUGUGAAAACGAGACAUUACACAUAAAUAUACACAGCCCCAUACACUUCAUCAAUGAUUGUCCCAUGUAAGGUGUCGUGAGAAAAACCUAAAGAAAACAUUUAUAAGUACUGAAUGUGUACAAAAAUAAAAAUGACUUAUUUUGAAACAAAAAAAAUAUUAAG
rnacentral:lncRNA from 1 species